rnacentral:rRNA from 1 species
GGCCCUAUGGGGCGCAGCAGGCGAGAAAACUUUGCAAUGUGCGAAAGCACGACAAGGUUAAUCCGAGUGAUUUGUGCUAAACGAAUCUUUUGUUAGUCCUAGAAACACUAACGAAUAAGGGGUGGGCAAGUUCUGGUGUCAGCCGCCGCGGUAAAACCAGCACCUCAAGUGGUCAGGAUGAUUAUUGGGCCUAAAGCAUCCGUAGCCGGCUCUGUAAGUUUUCGGUUAAAUCUGUACGCUUAACGUACAGGCUGCCGGGAAUACUGCAGAGCUAGGGAGUGGGAGAGGUAGACGGUACUCGGUAGGAAGGGGUAAAAUCCUUUGAUCUAUUGAUGACCACCUGUGGCGAAGGCGGUCUACCAGAACACGUCCGACGGUGAGGGAUGAAAGCUGGGGGAGCAAACCGGAUUAGAUACCCGGGUAGUCCCAGCUGUAAACUAUGCAAACUCAGUGAUGCAUUGACUUGUGGUCAAUGCAGUGCUGCAGGGAAGCCGUUAAGUUUGCCGCCUGGGAAGUUCGUACGCAAGUAUGAAACUUAGAGGAAUUGGCGGGGGAGCAC